GGGCCUGUAGCUCAGCCUGGUCAGAGCAGGCGACUCAUAAUCGCUUGGUCGGAGGUUCAAGUCCUCCCGGGCCCA
rnacentral:tRNA from 1 species